CAGGGCCCCACUAGUCUUCCAUUGUCCACCACAGCUUUUUCCCAGGAUUCCAGCUGAGCCACCUCCUUCCUACUUUCACAUUCUUCCCAGGCCUCUUCUGCCCUUUGGUACCAGCUCCCUGAGUCCCAGCCUGGUUAGUUCUCAGACUCCUGAGGACCCACCCCCAUGAGGACCUUGCCUCCCCAGGACCUCAACUUCCUGAGGGCACCCUGUGAGCUCUGCUCCAAGUCCUGACUCUGCUUGGCUAAGUUCCUUCUCUGUCCAUAGGUUUGUUUUGCACAUUCUUCCUAAGUGUUUCUCCUCUGAGAUGGAAGCAGCUCUUAGGGCCUACCACAGAGAAUGUUAAGACAUAUUCUUUGAAUGAGUGAAGAUUCUUCUGCCUGACUGCUGCCUCCUUCAUAUUUUGCCUCACUUUCUCGCUGGAGAUUCUGGAAGUCUCUGUGUUACAUCUUAUGGAGGACAUUGGUGCGGACUUUGAAGAUGAACAGGUCCAGUUUGAUAAGGUGGUCCCCAACACCAGGGAAGAUUUGAGGGGCUUCUACUGCAGGCUGAAGGAGCUUAAUAUUUUUACAGCUGCUGAAGGCAUUAUGAAAGGAUACCAGAAGAAAUAUGAAGCAGACGCUUUGAAGCCUGAACAAUAGACCUCGGCAGCCCCAACCCAACUUGGCUUAAUUCCGUCUCAAUGAACCAGAGCCAAUACUCUUGGCUCCCUGGCCUUGCUACAACUCUCUGAUCCUUAGAAU
rnacentral:lncRNA from 12 species